AGUCACAGAAACAGUCUAUGGAAAGAGAGUGUUCCUCCUCAAAUAGUUUAAUGAAGAAUUGGGGCAAGCUGCAGGCCACUUCAGAGAACCUACUCAUCUGGAUCAGUGGAAGAGAAACACAAAAAACAAUAGGCCCAAUCUUCACCUGUGCUGAGCUCACAUUUGACACAGCUGUGGGGGCUCCUGAAGUCCAGUCUCAUCACUCUCACUGCAUGCAGUGCCCACAAUGAGACAUCAUACUGACUAUGGAAUUAAUGACAUGAGACUUUUGAUGGGAAACAAUACAGCUCUAUCUAUCUGCUUGUAAGAACCACAUCCACACAGUGUCUGAGUGCUGACAUGCUUCUGCUUUGAAUCUCAAACUGGGAAAGUUGGACAAAUUAAGACUCAUUUGUACAUGAAGGUGGAUAAGUGCCAGACAUCAAGUUUUCAUCCAAGCUGUGUUUUAUUAAAGCAGGGAGGGAAAGUCAAUAUUUGUUAGGAUUUUCUUUAAGCAACAGUCCAGAAAUAAAACUUUUAAAGUCCAUCUAUCCCAUC